rnacentral:rRNA from 1 species
UACAGAGGGUGCAAGCGUUAAUCGGAAUUACUGGGCGUAAAGCGUGCGUAGGCGGUUAUGUAAGUUGGGUGUGAAAGCCCCGGGCUCAACCUGGGAAUUGCAUUCGAGACUGUGUAGCUAGGGUACGGAAGAGGGAAGCGGAAUUUCAGGUGUAGCGGUGAAAUGCGUAGAUAUCUGAAGGAACACCAGUGGCGAAAGCGGCUUCCUGGUCCAGUACCGACGUUCAGGCACGAAAGCGUGGGGAGCAAACAGG